GCUGCGGGUACUCGAGUGGCGAACGGGUGAGUAACACGUGGGUGAUCUGCCUUGCACUUCGGGAUAAGCUUGGGAAACUGGGUCUAAUACCGGAUAGGACAGCUGUUUAGUGUCAGUUGUGGAAAGUUUUUUCGGUGCAAGAUGAGCUCGCGGCCUAUCAGCUUGUUGGUGGGGUAAUGGCCUACCAAGGCGUCGACGGGUAGCCGGCCUGAGAGGGUGUACGGCCACAUUGGGACUGAGAUACGGCCCAGACUCCUACGGGAGGCAGCAGUGGGGAAUAUUGCACAAUGGGCGGAAGCCUGAUGCAGCGACGCCGCGUGGGGGAUGAAGGCCUUCGGGUUGUAAACUCCUUUCGACAGGGACGAAGCGUAAGUGACGGUACCUGUAUAAGAAGCACCGGCUAACUACGUGCCAGCAGCCGCGGUAAUACGUAGGGUGCGAGCGUUGUCCGGAAUUACUGGGCGUAAAGAGCUCGUAGGUGGUUUGUCGCGUCGUCUGUGAAAUUCCGGGGCUUAACUCCGGGCGUGCAGGCGAUACGGGCUGACUUGAGUGCUGUAGGGGAGACUGGAAUUCCUGGUGUAGCGGUGAAAUGCGCAGAUAUCAGGAGGAACACCGAUGGCGAAGGCAGGUCUCUGGGCAGUAACUGACGCUGAGGAGCGAAAGCAUGGGUAGCGAACAGGAUUAGAUACCCUGGUAGUCCAUGCCGUAAACGGUGGGCGCUAGGUGUAGGGGGCUUCCACGUCUUCUGUGCCGUAGCUAACGCAUUAAGCGCCC
rnacentral:rRNA from 1 species